UACCAGCUCUCCGAGUGGUGUGGAUGUUUAUUGGGCCUAAAGCAUCCGUAGCUGGCUGGGCAAGUCCCCUGUUAAAUCCACCGAUUUAAUCGUUGGUGUGCGGGGGAUACUGUUCGGCUAGGGGACGGGAGAGGCCGACGGUAUUUUCGGGGUAGGGGUGAAAUCCUAUAAUCCCGGGAAGACAACCAGUGGCGAAGGCUGUCGGCUAGAACGCGCCCGACGGUGAGGGAUGAAAGCUGGGGGAGCGAACCGGAUUAGAUACCCGGGUAGUCCCAGCUGUAAACGAUGCAGGCUAGGUGUUUGGGCGGCCACGUGCCGCUCUAGUGCCGCAGAGAAGUCGUUAAGCCUGCCGCCUGGGGAGUACGGCCGCAAGGCUGAAACUUAAGGAAUUGGCGGGGGAGCACCACAAGGGGUGAAGCUUGCGGUUU
rnacentral:rRNA from 1 species